rnacentral:miRNA from 1 species
UAAAAGUGUUGAUGAGAGAGGAGGAUAUGAGGGAGGGGUAAUAAAAUUGAAAACUGGAAUAUAUUUGAAAUUGUUUUCACUUUUGUUACUUCCCCCUCCCAUCCUCCCUUCUCAUCAUCUUCUCAAAU